UACGAAGGGGGCUAGCGUUGUUCGGAAUUACUGGGCGUAAAGCGCACGUAGGCGGACUACUAAGUCAGGGGUGAAAUCCCGGGGCUCAACCCCGGAACUGCCUUUGAUACUGGUAGUCUCGAGUCCGGAAGAGGUGAGUGGAAUUCCGAGUGUAGAGGUGAAAUUCGUAGAUAUUCGGAGGAACACCAGUGGCGAAGGCGGCUCACUGGUCCGGAACUGACGCUGAGGUGCGAAAGCGUGGGGAGCAAACAGG
rnacentral:rRNA from 1 species